rnacentral:rRNA from 1 species
GACGAACGCUGGCGGCGUGCUUAACACAUGCAAGUCGAACGGUAAGGCCCUUCGGGGUACCCGAUUGGCGAACGGGUGAGUAACACGUGGGUGAUCUGCCCUGCACUUCGGGAUAAGCCUGGGAAACGGGGUCUAAUACCGGAUAGGACUCCUGGCUUCAUGGUUGGGGGGGGAAAGCUUUUGCGGUGUGGGAUGGGGCCGCGGCCUAUCAGCUUGUUGGUGGGGUAAUGGCCUACCAAGGCGACGACGGGUAGCCGGCCUGAGAGGGUGACCGGGCACACUGGGACUGAGAUACGGCCCAGGCUCCUACGGGAGGCAGCAGUGGGGAAUAUUGCACAAUGGGCGCAAGCCUGAUGCAGCGACGCCGCGUGAGGGAUGACGGCUUUCGGGUUGUAAACCUCUUUCAGCGAUGACGAAGCGCAAGUGACGGUAGUAGCAGAAGAAGGACCGGCCAACUACGUGCCAGCCGCCGCCGUAA